UUGGAGGGCAAGUCUGGUGCCAGCAGCCGCGGUAAUUCCAGCUCCAAUAGCGUAUAUUAAAGUUGUUGCAGUUAAAAAGCUCGUAGUUGAAUUUCGGGAUCAAUAUUUCGGUCAUGCCGUUGGUAUGCACUGUUAUCAUUGAUUUCUCACCUUCUAAAGAACCGUAAUGCCAUUAAUUUGGUGUUACGGGGAAUUAGGACUGUUACCUUGAAAAAAUUAGAGUGUUUAAAGCAGGCUCACGCUUGAAUACAUUAGCAUGGAAUAAUGAAAUAGGACAUCCGAUUCUAUUUUGUUGGUUUCUAGGAUCGAUGUAAUGAUUAAUAGGGAUAGUUGGGGGCAUUAGUAUUCAAUUGUCAGAGGUGAGAUUCUUGGAUUUAUUGAAGACUAACUACUGCGAAAGCAUUUGCCAAGGAUGUUUCCAUUAAUCAAGAACGAAAGUUAGGGGAUCGAAGACGAUCAGAUACCGUCGUAGUCUUAACCAUAAACUAUGCCGACUAGGGAUCGGAUGAUGUUAAUUUUUUAAUGACUCAUUCGGCGCCUUACGGGAAACCAAAGUGUUUGGGUUC
rnacentral:rRNA from 1 species